rnacentral:piRNA from 1 species
UGACAUCUUACCAAUGUGACAGUGGGA